GGAGAGACCUGAUGCAGAAAGAGAAAUCACUCUGCCCUUGGCUCUGUCCAUGCACCCAUAGAUGCUGCCCUUGGAUGCCACUGUGCCUGGCUGCCUGUUGUCCUUUUCCUGCUAAGGCUCCUGGCUUUCCUGAAGCAAGAAAGUGUUGGGCAUCUCUGACUGACUAUAGCUUUGUCUGAAUUCCAGCUCAAAUAGCCACCCCUGUGCUCUGUUAGCAAUCUGUGCUGAACCAGGUGUUUCUCCUAAGGACCAGGGACCAGCUGACCUUCUGGCAGGUAGCUCAUAAGAGAGCAGAGGAGAGCAGAGCGUCUCCACUGAGAAAGCAAGCAGGAGAGGAGCAGCUUUAGGUGCCAGCAGGCUCCUUUUCAGCCCUGAAAUGAG